GAUGAACGCUGACAGAAUGCUUAACACAUGCAAGUCAACUUGAAUUUGGGUUUUUAACUUAGGUUUGGGUGGCGGACGGGUGAGUAACGCGUAAAGAACUUGCCUCACAGCUAGGGACAACAUUUGGAAACGAAUGCUAAUACCUAAUAUUAUGAUAAUAGGGCAUCCUAUAAUUAUGAAAGCUAUAAGCGCUGUGAGAGAGCUUUGCGUCCCAUUAGCUAGUUGGAGAGGUAACGGCUCACCAAGGCGAUGAUGGGUAGCCGGCCUGAGAGGGUGAUCGGCCACAAGGGGACUGAGACACGGCCCUUACUCCUACGGGAGGCAGCAGUGGGGAAUAUUGGACAAUGGACCGAGAGUCUGAUCCAGCAAUUCUGUGUGCACGAUGAAGUUUUUCGGAAUGUAAAGUGCUUUCAGUUGGGAAGAAACAAAUGACGGUACCAACAGAAGAAGUGACGGCUAAAUACGCG
rnacentral:rRNA from 1 species